GGCAGAUAUUCAACUUUGUGUAUCAGUGUUAAUCAUUUUCUUGGCUGUAUGUGUCCAAUGGGAGGACAUAUUAUUAUGCGUUGUCUUUUUUGGUAAUUGUUUUUAAUUUAUUGAACUAACUUAGUUUCACUUUAAGUUCAAUGACAGAUUCACAGUGUUUUUUUUGUACUGUAUUUGGUCUCAUUGGUCCAUUUUCCCAGAAAGAUCCCACAAAUGGUAUCCGAGUGGAAAACAUGGAUCUUAAAAUUUCUUCUUGUUUGGUAAAUGACGAUAAAAUUACCGCCCACAAGUGCGAAAGCUUGAAGGCGAGUGUUUUUCCAUCCCCGUUGCUGGCUAGUUUGGGAUCGUGCAAUGCUAUUUGCCGCUUAUUUUUCUCAAAUCCAAAUGAAACAUCAGCCUGCUGCUCGAGUAUGCAAAAUGCAGUCUCAUUCAAAUUCCACAGCAGAUUUUUAAAAAUAGUUUUUACAAUUCCUCUAAAUGAAUAUAGUCCAAACGGUAAUCAAGUGGUACAGCGACCAAGCCCUGCCAUGAAUACUAAAAAUCUAGAAUUGACAACUCUUUGAAAGGUUUAUAAUUAAUUCUAGAUGCAACAAAAUAGCGACAAAAUACAUUUCUAUCAUUUUUAUAUUUCUAUCAGGACAUUGCCCUGCAUAUAAAAACAGCAAAUAGGUGAGUUUUUUUGUUUUGUUUUUUAAAGUGGAGCGGCUGUACCUGACUCGGUGUAUGACUAAAUCUCAAAUGCAUGAAACUUCAUGAAUAUCAAUAUUACUUUUAAUAAAGUAUGUGUUUUGCUAUGUUACAAUGAAUACAUGCCAUUCACUACUUUUAUUUAUCCUUGCGUGUGGGCAUUUAUUUUUAGACUCCAUUUUUAACUUCCGCAUAGGUUGUCUUUUGCCUGUGUCAAAGUCGACUACCAAUGCCGUUCGACUCCAAUUCACCAAUCAGACGACACAAACCCCAUCACAUGACAAUGCAUGUGACCUUCGUGAGCCAAUCAAAAUGACUCAUUUAUUGGGUGUGCAGGUGUGGGACUGCGUUUGUUUACCAAAAAAACAAAACAACAACUUUGUCAAGCAGCUCCUGCUCAAACUUGGAUGUUUCAGUUCGCUCCAAACUUGAGACAACACCUUGUGGUCUUCCAGUGGAUGCGUGGAACAGCAUGAAAGGAUCUACUAGUCAUAACUGAUUAAAAGCCAUUUCCUGUCGUGUUACAGCCACUGUUUGGAAACAAGCAGCUUGACAGAAGAUGCCCGUUUCACUUCACUUCCUGCCCCAUUAAUAUUUCCGCAUCCUAUUUUGAGUCAGCCACGAGAAAGAAAGAAAAGCUGUCAGCGUGACACUAAAAACACGCACAUGCCCGCUCGCCAUGACGACUAUUCUGACGUCGCGUUUCACUGCAGGCUCCUCGCAGCCGUGCGAGGUUGAGAGACGAGAGAACUUCAACCAAGAGGAACGAUGAUGGGUGAAAUCGCCGGUGGCAAAAAUGGGCUGCUGUGGGGUUAAAUUCAUCUUCACUUUGAGGAAUACCAUCAAAAGUGGAGCAGACUGAACAUGACGCAACAAAGCCUCAAAUGUUAAAAGGUGGAUUGCGAAACAUUUAGCAUUUAGCAUACCACCACGGGCAGUUGCUGUUCCAGUGGUUUGAUUAACGUUUUUGUUCCUGAAGUCCACAAUACUUUUGCGCGGCUGACAAAUCUGUCAACUAAUCAGGCAAACCACACUGCCACAAAGUUUAAAAGGAAUAAUUAAAAAAAGAACAAAUAUCUACCGCAAUUUCAGGCCUACAUAGCACACCGGAUUAUCAAACUCACCCAGUACAUUUGUAAAGGAAAUAACGUGGUAUAUACAUAAGCCGCACCUGUGUAAAAGCCGCAAGGGCCCACAUUGAAACCCACGUUGAAACACGAGAUAUUUACAAAGAAAGACGGUACACAGAGUGUUCAAAGUUUUAAUACCUUACCUUAGCUUUACACAGCUACAACACGGUAGCACGAACAGGGCUGGUUUAAAAACAACAACUAGAAAAAACAUACCGCGGCAGCUACACCGGAGCAACAUGGUAGCACAGCACUAACAGAGCCGCAGAGCCGGUUUAAAAAAAAAACAAAAACAAAAAAAAAAACAUACCUAAAUCACUGAGACGCGGCAGUAACACAAGAGAAACACGCUAGCGUGGCGCUAACAGGGCCGGUUAAAAAAAAAAAUGAUACCUGUAAAAAUCAGAGACGUGGCAGUGACAUAACUGCAACACGGUAGCACAGCGCUAACAGGGCCGGUAAAAAAACAAAAACAACAAAAGGAAAACAUCCCGGUAAAAAUCACUGAGACGCGUCAGUAACACACCAGCAACAUCCUAGCACAGCGCUAAGAGGGCCGGUUAAAUAAAAAUAAAAAAUAAAAAUCACGGUAAAAAUAACUGAGAUGUGGCAGUAACACAACUGCAACAGGCUAGCACAGUGCUAACAGGGCCGGUAAAAAAACAAACAAAAAAAAAAACAUUGCAGUAAAAAUCCCUGAGACGCAGCAGUAACACAGCAGCAACAUCCUAGCACAGCGCUAAUAGGGCUGCUUUAAAAAAAAUAAAAAUCACUGAGACGCGGCAGCAACAUGCUAGCACAGUGCUAACGCUAGCUAGCGCAGCACGAACAAAAAAACAUCCCGGUAAAAGUCACUUCCUCGGCACAUAUAUUCCACCCGUCUUACUCUUACCUUUUUUGCUCGAGUGCCCCCCUUGCGGUUACAAAAAUUGCACAAAUUACCUGGAUCGCCGCAUAGGACGCAGAGUUGAAAGCGUAUGAAAAAAGUCGCCCCUUAUAGGCCGGAAAUUAUGGAAUUGUUGGAUAAAUAACCGUGGCUUUUUGUUGAAAAGGACUUGUAGCGCGCAAUACACAAACAAAUACAAUACACAGAUAAAACAAAGCCACAGUACAGAACGGUCUAUUGACAUA